rnacentral:pre_miRNA from 1 species
CAACUACUCCCUCUGUCCCAAAUUUCUUGUCUUAGAUUUGUCUAGAUACGGAUGUAUCUAAUAAUAAAAUGUGACUUGAUACAUCCGUAUCUAGACAAAUCUAAGACAAGAAUUUUGGGACGGAGGGAGUACUUU